GCCUGGCAGGCUACAAUCCAUGGGGUCCCCCCCCCAAAAAAAAAGAGUGGGACACAACUGAGUAAAACAAUGACCAGGUAAAAGGGGAGGGGAUGGGGAAAAAUAAGGCAAGCCCCGCCCACAAAUGUACCACAGUCACCAUUAACGUCAUAUUUAUUGUUAUUUAGCUGCUCAGGAAAACAUAUACAGGUAUAUACAAUAUGCAUGAAUACAGAAGACUGCACUUUACAUAUUUUUUUAAAAAAAGAAAGAAAAAAAUAACACUCAAUUUCAUGAGCUAUUGUCACAGUCUUCCAACCAAGCAUUUCAGAAAUGAAUUUCUUUUAAGAGUCAAAAAAGAUUACAGGAUUGCCUAACACACAGCAGAGUUAAGUUUCCAUAUUUUACAUGUGCAAUAACGUUUUCAUAUUCUUUCCCGAAGAGUUUUGCUAUGCAGUACCGAUUACCAGUGUUUGUGGAGUCUCGUGGGUUGGGUGUGUUUUUAAUUUACUUUUAUUCUUUCCAUUAAACCAAAUCUAGUGAAAUAACAUCCUUUUGCUUAAGGCUAUUUUUAAAGCUGUUCCAUUCUGGGGUCGUGGGGAGCGAGAAAGUUGAAAACUUCAGGGGUUUCCGAGGUUGCCAGGACCAUGAGCUGAUGGCCUCAACGCAGGGAAAGUCAAAGACAGAAGUCAAGACACUUGGCUCCCCGGCCUUAAGCAAUUAAGGAGAAAUCAUUCCUGUUUAAGAAAUAAAAGGAUGAAGCUCUCAAACAGCUGUACAUUGCGGAAUCAGAGGGGGCGUGGAGUUUCGCUCGGACCAUGGCUGGCCCUCCCGCAGCCCACUGCAGGAGGGGAGGUUCCCUGCCCCUUUCUCUCCUUCACUGGCCCUCGGGAAUCUGCAAACUCCUCCAAAGAAGACACACAGGCUGGGAGGCAGGAAGGGGGCUUGGCCAAGAGAGCCUGGGGGCUCCUUUACUCAACCAGCUCCUCCAAAAAGUGCUGGGCCCUCCCAGGGAUGCGGGGGCGGCCCAGAACGGGGAGAAGUGGGGGAUGACCCAGGAACCACUCCUUCUGGCCCCGAUGCCUGGUUGGCCAC
ensembl:lncRNA